rnacentral:rRNA from 1 species
AAGCGGCAACAGCUCAAAUUUGAAAUCGGCUCACGCCCGAGUUGUAAUUUGUAGAGGAUGUUUCGGGUGAAGCCACGGUCCAAGUCCCUUGGAACAGGACGUCAGAGAGGGUGAGAACCCCGUACCUGGCCGUCGGUGCCCCCCGCUGUGAAACUCCUUCGACGAGUCGAGUUGUUUGGGAAUGCAGCUCUAAAUUGGUGGUAAAUUCCAUCUAAAGCUAAAUACCGGCCAGAGACCGAUAGCGCACAAGUAGAGUGAUCGAAAGAUGAAAAGCACUUUGAAAAGAGAGUUAAAAAGUACGUGAAAUUGUUGAAAGGGAAGCGCUUGCGGCCAUAUUUGUCUGUUGUUGCUCAACCCGCCUUUUGGCGGGUGCACUCUUCCGCGGUCAGGCCAGCAUCGGUUUGGGCGGUCGGAUAAAGACGCCGGGAACGUAGCCUCCUCUCGGGGAGGUGUUAUAGCCCGGCGUGCAAUGCGGCCAGCCCGGAGCCGAGGUUCG